UACGAAGGGGGCUAGCGUUGCUCGGAAUCACUGGGCGUAAAGGGUGCGUAGGCGGGUCUUUAAGUCAGGGGUGAAAUCCUGGAGCUCAACUCCAGAACUGCCUUUGAUACUGAAGAUCUUGAGUUCGGGAGAGGUGGAGUGGAACUGGACGAGUGUAGAGGUGAAAUUCGUAGAUAUUCGCAAGAACACCAGUGGCGAAGGCGGACUCACUGGCCCGAUACUGACGCUGAGGCACGAAAGCGUGGG
rnacentral:rRNA from 1 species